GUGAACGCUGGCGGUAGGCCUAACACAUGCAAGUCGAACGGCAGCACAGUAAGAGCUUGCUCUUAUGGGUGGCGAGUGGCGGACGGGUGAGGAAUACAUCGGAAUCUACCUUUUCGUGGGGGAUAACGUAGGGAAACUUACGCUAAUACCGCAUACGACCUUCGGGUGAAAGCAGGGGACUUCGGGCCUUGCGCGGAUAGAUGAGCCGAUGUCGGAUUAGCUAGUUGGCGGGGUAAAGGCCCACCAAGGCGACGAUCCGUAGCUGGUCUGAGAGGAUGAUCAGCCACACUGGAACUGAGACACGGUCCAGACUCCUACGGGAGGCAGCAGUGGGGAAAAUUGGACAAUGGGCGCAAGCCUGAUCCAGCCAUACCGCGUGGGUGAAGAAGGCCUUCGGGUUGUAAAGCCCUUUUGUUGGGAAAGAAAAGCAGUCGAUUAAUACUCGGUUGUUCUGACGGUACCCAAAGAAUAAGCACCGGCUAACUUCGUGCCAGCAGCCGCGGUAAAACGAAGGGUGCAAGCGUUACUCGGAAUUACUGGGCGUAAAGCGUGCGUAGGUGGUUGUUUAAGUCUGUUGUGAAAGCCCUGGGCUGAACCUGGGAAUUGCAGUGGAUACUGGGCGACUAGAGUGUGGUAGAGGGUAGUGGAAUUCCCGGU
rnacentral:rRNA from 1 species